rfam:Flavobacterium beibuense F44-8 contig1, whole genome shotgun sequence.
GAUUAUCGGAGGAGGAGACCUGAAUUCAUAAUC